UACGUAGGCAGCAAGCGUUGUUCGGAAUCACUGGGCGUAAAGCGUUUGUAGGUGGCUUUGUAAGUUAAAUGUGAAAGCCCAGGGCCUAACCCUGGAAGUGCAUUUAAUACUGCAGAGCUUGAGUAUGAGAGAGGAAGGUGGAAUACCUGGUGUAGUGGUGAAAUACGUAGAUAUCAGGUGGAACAUCGGCGGCGAAAGCGGCCUUCUGGCUUAAUACUGACACUGAAAAACGAAAGCGUGGGGAUCAAACAGG
rnacentral:rRNA from 1 species